rnacentral:rRNA from 1 species
UACGUAGGGUCCGAGCGUUGUCCGGAAUUACUGGGCGUAAAGAGCUCGUAGGUGGUUUGUCGCGUUGUUCGUGAAAACUCACAGCUUAACUGUGGGCGUGCGGGCGAUACGGGCAGACUGGAGUACUGCAGGGGAGACUGGAAUUCCUGGUGUAGCGGUGGAAUGCGCAGAUAUCAGGAGGAACACCGGUGGCGAAGGCGGGUCUCUGGGCAGUAACUGACGCUGAGACGCGAAAGCGUGGGUAGCAAACAGG